rnacentral:rRNA from 1 species
GACGAACGCUGGCGGCGUGCCUAAUACAUGCAAGUCGAGCGGAUGGAUGGAAGCUUGCUUCCUGAAGUCAGCGGCGGACGGGUGAGUAACACGUGGGCAACCUGCCCCUAAGAUCGGGAUAACUUCGGGAAACCGGAGCUAAUACCGGAUAUGAUUACUUCUCACAUGAGAGGUAAUGGAAAGACGGUUUCGGCUGUCACUUAGGGAUGGGCCCGCGGCGCAUUAGCUAGUUGGUGAGGUAACGGCUCACCAAGGCAACGAUGCGUAGCCGACCUGAGAGGGUGAUCGGCCACACUGGGACUGAGACACGGCCCAGACUCCUACGGGAGGCAGCAGUAGGGAAUCUUCCGCAAUGGACGAAAGUCUGACGGAGCAACGCCGCGUGAGUGAAGAAGGUUUUCGGAUCGUAAAACUCUGUUGUCAGGGAAGAACAAGUACCAUAGUAACUGAUGGUACCUUGACGGUACCUAACCAGAAAGCCACGGCUAACUACGUGCCAGCAGCCGCAGUAAAAC